UACAGAGGGGGCAAGCGUUGUUCGGAAUUACUGGGCGUAAAGGGCGCGUAGGCGGCCUGUUAAGUCGAACGUGAAAUCCCUGGGCUCAACCCAGGAACUGCGUCCGAUACUGGCAGGCUUGAAUUCGGGAGAGGGAUGUGGAAUUCCAGGUGUAGCGGUGAAAUGCGCAGAUAUCGGGAGGAACACCCGUAGCGAAGGCGGCACUCUGGGCCGGAACUGACGCUGAGGCGCGAAAGCUAGGGGAGCAAACGGG
rnacentral:rRNA from 1 species